rnacentral:rRNA from 1 species
UACGUAGGGGGCAAGCGUUGUCCGGAAUUAUUGGGCGUAAAGAGCGUGUAGGCGGUCCGGUAAGUCCGCUGUGAAAGUCAAGGGCUCAACCCUUGAAUGCCGGUUGAUACUGUCGGGCUAGAGUCCGGAAGAGGCGAGUGGAAUUCCCGGUGUAGCGGUGAAAUGCGCAGAUAUCGGGAGGAACACCAAUGGCGAAGGCAGCUCGCUGGGACGGUACUGACGCUGAGACGCGAAAGCCAGGGGAGCAAACGGG